rnacentral:lncRNA from 1 species
AUGCUCACAAACCCAUUACUCCUCUGCUUUUCUGCCAUUGGAAGCAAGCUCUGACACUCUGUGAGUGAAAGAAAUGGAUUUGGCGGUAUGGGUUUUAUUGCGGGGAGGAAGAAAGUGCUUCUGGUGGGGAAGAAAAGCACUUUUCCGUGAAGGAAGCUACAGAUUUCUCGUGGGAAAAGGGAAGUCACAGAGCGGUGAUAACUUUAAUAGUGGGAAACUUUAAGCAAAAAAAAAAAUGCGGAAAGUAAAAAAGGAAAAGGCAAAAGCAAAGGCAAAAAAGUAAAGAAAAGAGACAGAGUUACCAAACAAACACAAAUUGAAAUUGUGAU